UACGGAGGGUGCAAGCGUUAUCCGGAUUUACUGGGUUUAAAGGGUGCGUAGGUGGGUUGAUAAGUCAGUGGUGAAAUCCCCGAGCUUAACUUGGGAACUGCCAUUGAUACUAUUGAUCUUGAAUACCGUGGAGGUCAGCGGAAUAUGUCAUGUAGCGGUGAAAUGCUUAGAUAUGACAUAGAACACCAAUUGCGAAGGCAGCUGGCUACGCGAAUAUUGACACUGAUGCACGAAAAGCGUGGGGGAUCAAA
rnacentral:rRNA from 1 species